rnacentral:rRNA from 1 species
UACGGGGGAGCAAGCGUUGUUCGGAUUUACUGGGCGUAAAGGGCGCGUAGGCGGCGUGACAAGUCACUUGUGAAAUCUCCGGGCUUAACUCGGAACGGUCAAGUGAUACUGUCGUGCUAGAGUACAGAAGGGGCAACUGGAAUUCUCGGUGUAGCGGUGAAAUGCGUAGAUAUCGGGAGGAACACCAGUAGCGAAGGCGGCUCGCUGGCCAUUCCUGACGCUGAGUACGCGAAAGCUAGGGA